AAUAGGAGAACGAGACUGUUUAUGUCGAUAGGUCAUUUGUCUGUUAGUGUUCGUUUUGUCAUUUACAUGAACACAAUAGCCUAUCCAGACAAUGAGGAAGCUAAUGAUUUCAAUCGUACCACGAAAGGUCGAAUUUAUUGUUAUUUAAGUUGCAUUUUGUCUACUUAUUCGUUUUAAAGUCUACUGCAUUCGUCUUCAUUUUUUUUCUUCACCAAAGCCGGUAUUCCACACCACGAAUGGUAGGACUAAUCACCAGUAGGGCUCAAAAAGGCCGAAGGAAUUUUAAGCCACACAUGUCCUUCCAAAAUUUUCAACCAGAAAAUCACCUGUGUUUUUUCCAGCUUCGUGCUUCAAACCCAAAAUCAGAGACCAUAUCUGACUUGGGUUUCUACCGCAUUUUCACUGAAACACUUGCAAUAAUUGCAAUCAUCUUCAUUGUUAAGUACAACAAAGGGUGGCAGUAAUGGCUUCAUCUGCAAGAUACAUUUGUAUUACUCACAAAGUGGCUUGCCAAUCGUACAUGGUUUACUCACCAAAGUUUGGUAAAUAAGUGGCUUGCCAAUCGUACGUGGUCUAUGCACCAAAAUUUGGUGAAUGAUUGUGGUUGCUCUCCCUUAAAGAUAUUCAAAGGAGUCCAAUAGGGUUUUGAUUUUUUUGCCUUAUGAGGGUAGAAAUGUCAAUUUGGCUAAUGUUUUUAAUCCAACUCGCUCUAGCAAAUAUGGCUCUAUCCAUAAAAGGUACUAUCCAUAAAAGGUAAUCAACUAACAUACUACUUAAUUUAAAAAGGAAAACUAAUGAAAAAAGUUUGAAAACUUUGAGUUUUAACGAUAAGGACAAAAUAAGGGUAAAGCGAAUAAUACCAAGAUUGACUUUUUAGUGUAAAAAUGUGAUUUAUCGUUAAAGUGAACAGUACCAAGAGUUUUUCGUUAAAGUUUCCUAAUUUAAAAUCGCUAUAUAUAUAUUUGCUAUCCGUUACAACUUUCCCUUGUCUCUCCAUGUUGUCAAACCGUUGCAUAAAGAUUGCAUGCAUGUUUUUUAUUU
rnacentral:lncRNA from 1 species